rnacentral:lncRNA from 1 species
GUCAGGCGAGAACACAUAUGCUCCUACUGAGGAAAAUAAACUGCAAUGUAUUUUUAGCAUCCGUUGGAAGUGCUUUCAGCUGAAGAUAUUCUGCAGGAUACAGACUAUUUCACUGAAGGCCAAAGGAUUGGCCACAACGUCACCUAGAAUUCUGGAACUUGUCCUCGGGAUCUAGAAAAAAGAAAGAAAAUCAUUCCAGAAAAAGACAAAUGAAAAACACCUGUAGAAUAGUCAUGACAAAUGGUGCUAACUGUAGCACACCUGGCACUCUGAGAUGAAGCAUGUCCGGGAGGGAAGAGGGAGCAUGGGGAGCAGAGAGGAUGUCUCCCAUUCCUUUUCUGCCUAAUGCUGAAGAUAAGCCAUGAACAGGAAGCCACUAUAUGGUGCAUCUUGGUGGAAAGUGCCUGUGGGUGCCCUUGUGGGAUAGAGCAAGGCACCAUUCCAGCAGACCUAGCAGCUCCAUGGCAUGUCUGUUCAAAGAACGAUGGAGCAGAAAAGGAAGAUGCCAGUUCAUAGUUGCUACGUGUCCAUUUCAAAAUGGUUACCUAGCAACAGCUGGAGCCGGGGCUACAAGGAGUCAUACCAGUGGCUUGGAGUGGAAAAGCUUACUGAGCUACAGACUUGCUCUACUAACGGGUGAAGGGCUUGCUGUGUUUACAGAAAACCUCUCGUGGUGUGAAAAACAUCUGACAGCUUUUGAAGCCAAAACAGAAUCCCUUUUAAAGUUCCUAGAUGCCAGUGAUAGCACCUCUGUGAAUAUACAGCUUUAG